GCUGACUACUCACGAGCUCUUAGUUGAAAGCAGAGCGUCGACAUUCAUAAUACAAAAACAAUUUGCAACUCUCAUUGCCCAAAGAUAUGUAAAGAACAUAAUGAGCUUGAGUCCAGUGAAGCAAAACAGGGAUUGGCCUUGAAAUUUUACCGGGUAGGUUAUAAGUACCCCCAAACCCCCCUUUAAACCCUUUCAAUUUGGGCAUUUAGAGUCAGCGCAAGUUCUUGUUCUCUCGGUAUACGAUGGAGUCGGGCCUGUGAGUUACAUCUGUGGAGAUUGUGGGCAGGAGAAUACCCUAAAACCUGGCGAUGUGCUUCACUGCCGUGAAUGUGGCUAUCUUAUUCUCUAUAAGAAGCGAACCCGCAGAAGUAAUUUUUUAUUUCUGGUUUUACUUUCCGUUGUUAAUAAUAUAUCGGUUCGACUUGAUUCUUUGCAAUCACAAUAUGUCUUGUGGAGAAAUUCAACAUGUUCUUUUAUAACAUACUUUACUUUCUUUAAAGGCGAGAAAGGGCUUACUCUAUUACUAUAAGUUACUAGUUUAUGAACUAUCUCAGAUAUGUCAUGUAAGUAGACUUACGGAUGUGAUAGACAUUUUUAUUUCUAGCAAGGAAGAUACUCUCACUCUGCCUCAGGCUUGAAGCAAUAUAGUAGUAAAUUUCAAGGGUUA